rnacentral:lncRNA from 1 species
AUCCUUAUUUAAUUUUUUAAUAUAAAUAUAAUUUUUAAUUUUAAAAUUUAAAAUUUUAAAUAUUUAAAUUUUAAAAUUUAAAAUUAUUAUUUUAAUUAUUUAAAUUUUAAAUUUGAUAUUUUAUAUUUGUAACUUUAAAUUUUUAAAUUUGAGACUUAAAAUUAUAAAUUUAAAUUUAAAUUUUAAAAUUUAAAAUAUUUAAAUUUUAAAUUUAAAUUCAAAUAUAAAAAUUAGGAUAAAAUUAUUAUUUUUUAUUUAUAAUAAUUUACUAUCUUUUUUAUCCCAGCUACUCUAAUCAAACACUAUUUUACUUAUACCUGAACUAAACUCAAUUCUCAAUCAAACACAAAAUUACUCUAACUUUAUUUUAAUUUUAAACUUAAGUCUAUUUUUAAAAUAACUAAUUCUUACUUAACUCCAAGCUAAACUAAGCGUUGUAAUAGU